UACGGAGGAUGCAAGCGUUAUCCGGAUUCAUCGGGUUUAAAGGGUGCGUAGGUGGGCUUAUAAGUCAGAGGUGAAAUCCGGCAGCUUAACUGUCGAACUGCCUUUGAUACUGUAAGUCUUGAGUUAAGUUGAAGCAGGCGGAAUAUGACAUGUAGCGGUGAAAUGCAUAGAUAUGUCAUAGAACACCGAUAGCGAAGGCAGCCUGCUAAACUUACACUGACACUGAUGCACGAAAGCGUGGGUAGCGAACAGG
rnacentral:rRNA from 1 species